AGGACGAACGCUGGCGGCGUGCUUAACACAUGCAAGUCGAGCGGAAAGGCCCUUCGGGGUACUCGAGCGGCGAACGGGUGAGUAACACGUGAGUAAUCUGCCCCUAGCUCUGGGAUAGCUCCGGGAAACCGGGAUUAAUACCAGAUACGACCACUUUAGACAUCUGUUGUGGUGGAAAGAAUUUUGGCUAGGGAUGAGCUCGCGGCCUAUCAGCUUGUUGGUGAGGUAACGGCUCACCAAGGCGACGACGGGUAGCCGGCCUGAGAGGGCGACCGGCCACACUGGGACUGAGACACGGCCCAGACUCCUACGGGAGGCAGCAGUGGGGAAUAUUGCGCAAUGGGCGAAAGCCUGACGCAGCGACGCCGCGUGGGGGAUGAAGGCCUUCGGGUUGUAAACCCUUUCAGCAGGGACGAAGCGAAAGUGACGGUACCUGCAGAAGAAGCGCCGGCUAACUACGUGCCAGCAGCCGC
rnacentral:rRNA from 1 species